UCCGGGGGCUUCGGCCCCCCACUCUUCACCCCCUGUUUACCCACACCUUUGUUUGCUUUGGCGGGUAUCGGGCCCGCCUUAUAUCGGCCGAUCCAUGCCCGUCCGAGGCCGUUAAACCUUCGCCUAUCAGUGUCGUCCGAGUCAUACCAUAAUAGUCAAAACUUUCAACAACGGAUCUCUUGGUUCCGGCAUCGAUGAAGAACGCAGCGAAAUGCGAUAAGUAAUGUGAAUUGCAGAAUUCAGUGAACCAUCGAAUCUUUGAACGCACAUUGCGCCCCUCGGUAUUCCGGGGGGCAUGCCUGUUCGAGCGUCAUCACACCCCUCAAGCGUAGCUUGGUAUUGGGCCUGCGCCCUCGCGGCGGGCCCGAAAGUCAGUGGCGGUCCGGCGUGACUUCGAGCGUAGUAAAAUCAUCUCCCGCUCUGGGAGCUCGCGCCGCGGCCGGCCAGAACGCCCCCCUUUCCAAACGAUUGACCUCGGAUCAGGUAGGGAUACCCGCUGAACUUAA
rnacentral:rRNA from 1 species